rnacentral:lncRNA from 1 species
CAGCACAGGCCCAGCGAGAGACACACACUCAGGAGCUCUCACAUAACAAAUGAAGGAAUGGAAUGAAGAAAUGAAUGAUCCAAAACCUCUUUAGAGACUGGAUCUUGAAUGCAGAAUCCUAGGAGGUUCUAGCCACACCUGUCCCUUGUCCUUCAGAGGCUGACACCCAUGUUUCAUCCCCCCACUACCUCUUGCCCCUAAAGCCACCCCACCUCAUGCAACUCUGAAGCUCUUUGGCCA